AAUGAACGUUGGCGGCGUGGAUUAGGCAUGCAAGUCGUACGGGUCGGUGUAGCAAUACAACGGCAAGUGGCGAAAGGGAGAGUAACACGUAGAUACCUACCCUCUGGUCGGGGAUACCGCGGCAUAACCGCAAGUAAUACCCGAUAAAAUCUCCGGAUCAAAGGUGUGAUUCCGCCGGAGGAGGGGUCUGCGUUCUAUCAGCUUGUUGGUGAGGUAAUGGCUCACCAAGGCUAAGACGGAUACGGGGUGUGAGAGCAUGCCCCCGCUCACUGGGACUGAGACACGGCCCAGCCACCUACGGGUGGCUGCAGUCGAGCAUCUUCGGCAAUGGGCGCAAGCCUGACCGAGCGACGCCGCGUGCGGGAUGAAGGCCUUCGGGUUGUAAACCGCUGUCGAGGGGAAUGAAGUGUAGGUGGGUACUCCCAUCUAUUUGACAGAUCCCUGGAGGAAGCAUGGGCUAAGUUCGUGCCAGCCGCCGCGGUAAAAC
rnacentral:rRNA from 1 species